AGCAUCCCAAGUUCAGAGUAAAGCACUCACCAGGAAUCUUGUCAUAGGACUGACUAGAAGGAAGCCCCAGAAAACUAGAUUGGCCAGUUACCUAGUUCAUGAGCAGGUUUCUGUUUUCUUAUCAUUGACAAUGCUACUGUGUUUUAAGUAACUCAGUGCUGGGAGGCAGAGUUGGUUUGCUCCUUUCUACUCUGACCAAAAGGCAGCCGGGUGUGUGGUUUGCCGCCUGUGCUUGACUGACAGUAUACAGGGAGGGCCUAGUGUUAAUGGACACAAGCAAAGCAAAUAACUAGAUGUCAGGUUAGAAUCAAAUAGUAGUUUGUUCUUCUUUAAAAAAUGUUCUUUUUCAGCGGACAUUAUUGAAUUGUGAGCCUCCAGAGAGAAUUCCCCCUUUUAUGCUCUAAGGCAGUAGAUUGAUUAACUAUUUCACUUUUUUUAUUACGAUCAAGUCUCCCCAAGUUUUUCAUUCAGAAAAUUAGCCAAAGUAGAACAUGGUGGCCCCUAGAAAAGGCAAGAGAACUGUGACUGCAGAAGGAAGCCUUCGGGGAAACACAGAUGCCUCCUCUUUUCUUCUGCUCUGUCUCCAACCAUGACUGAAAACGAAAACUCUAAAGGAGACAGACCUUUAAGUGAGUCUGAAAGAAGAGUCCCUAUCUAACUGCAAUUUCCGCCAUCUUGGCAGAUUGCUGCAUAGACACUUUCUUUCCCUUCUUGGUCCUCAUCUCCUAAUCCAGAAGUCAAAUGUGUUCAUUUCCAGAUCCAGAGACGAGCCUAAGUUAUUGUUACUUAGUUACUUACUUAAUACUUGCUCUAAAGUCACCACCCGAAGGAGUGGAUGCUUAACCUGGGGAUGUUCAUUUUGCUCAGUGAGUGGCUACCCUCCCUGUGAGAAGUGGCCGCUCCCUGUCUGAACAGACAGUCUCUGGGCUGUGAGGCGAGGAUCUGCAUUGGCUCCACCACCCUACCACCGAGAAACAGCAUCUAUUCCCUUCCAUGUGCCUUAGGGCACUCAGUGUGGUCACCUACCCAAAGCUAGAGUCAGUGAGACAAUAUGCUGUGUUAGGGUGGCAGCAACCCAGGAGGGCUUCAGACUAAAUUCUUCCAGGCACUACCCCCACCCCACCCCACCUGCUCAAGGGUUAGAGUGGGUGAGAUUGGCCUCCACCGUGAUGAUGGAGUGUAAUUGUUCUGUUGUAGAUCUCUGGAAAGCAAAAACUACUGCCAUCUGCUCACCUUGUUAAUCAUUCCUUCCCCCAGGACAGCCCCAGCUCUCAUUUCAGGUACAGACAACAAGACAGGAAAGAGAAGGCUCACUGCAGGAAUCGGGGCAGUUCUUAGGUCUGAGCUACCCCUCAGAGAUCCAUCCCUGAAUGGGGGAAGGACGCCCAAUGUGGCAGACUGCAAUCAGAGGGAUAACUUUUUUAGGCCCUCUCUCUAUAUCCUUAUUAGAAGUAGGUGGCUGUGACGUGGCGUGAUCAACCCCUGUAUGACAGCAUGGCUUCAACUUCUGGUGUCUCAACAGGGGAAACUGAUCACGGGGAGAAAGCUUCAGAUGAAAUCUAGAUGCUUCAGAAAGCACAUGGUGCUCCCAAAACAUACUAUCUCCAUGACUUCCAAACAAAUACCCCGGGUGUAAAAACAGUCAGGGUGGUGUAAACAUUGCCCUUGCUCCGUGUUUUCCUACAGUACACCUAAAAUUCCUAUUUUUGUAACGAUAAGACUGUGGUCGGUCGA
rnacentral:lncRNA from 1 species